GGCUCUUUGGCAAUGUGGUCAGUGCACACAACUCUUAUCCGGGAGUCUGGGGUUCAAUUCCCCGCCCGGGUCC